CCUACGGGAGGCAGCAGUAAGGAAUAUUGGUCAAUGGGGGCAACCCUGAACCAACCAUGCCGCGUGCAGGACGACUGCCCUAUGGGUUGUAAACUGCUUUUGUUAGGGAAUAAACCCCGCUACGUGUAGCGGGCUGAAUGUACCUAAAGAAUAAGGAUCGGCUAACUCCGUGCCAGCAGCCGCGGUAAU
rnacentral:rRNA from 1 species